AGGGGCAGCUCUAUAGGACAGGGGCCAAGACAGGGAGCUCUUUCACACUACGCGCGCACACACACACAAUGCAUCCCUAUACAUACACAGAAACACAACAUGCUUCCCUUACACACAGAGAAACACACAAUGCAUCCAUUACACACACACACACAGUACAACCCUUACACACAAAGACAAUGCAUCCUUUGCACACAUACACAGAAACAGAC